rnacentral:tmRNA from 2 species
AGUACCGAGGAUGUAGGAAUUUCGGACGCGGGUUCAACUCCCGCCAGCUCCACCA